AGUGAACGCUGGCGGUAGGCCUAACACAUGCAAGUCGAACGGCCGCACAGUAAGAGCUUGCUCUUACGGGUGGCGAGUGGCGGACGGGUGAGGAAUACAUCGGAAUCUACUUUUUCGUGGGGGAUAACGUAGGGAAAGUUACGCUAAUACCGCAUACGACCUACGGGUGAAAGCAGGGGAUCUUCGGACCUUGCGCGAUUGAAUGAGCCGGUGUCGGAUUAGCUAGUUGGCGGGGUAACGGCCCACCAAGGCGACGAUCCGUAGCUGGUCUGAGAGGAUGAUCAGCCACACUGGAACUGAGACACGGUCCAGACUCCUACGGGAGGCAGCAGUGGGGAAUAUUGCGCAAUGGGCGCAAGCCUGAUCCAGCCACACCGCGUGAGUGAAGAAGGCCUUCGGGUUGUAAAGCCCUUUUGUUGGGAAAGAAAAGCAGCAGGUUAAUACCCCGCUGUUCUGACGGUACCCAAAGAAUAAGCACCGGCUAACUUCGUG
rnacentral:rRNA from 1 species